CUCGCGACAUAUCCCCGGCGAGGGAGUAGCGACCACCGCGAAGCCGAAAAUCAGUAAAGUGGGAAACAGCCAACAAACGCUCCAAAAGAGCGCCGCAUUCUGCCAGUCCCCAAGCCACGCUCUCUCUGCUAAUGGAGAACAUGCAGUACGCGGAGGAGCUGGUUCGGGAGUUCCUCGUCUUCCGAGGCUUCACCAACACUCUCCAAUCCUACGACUCUGAGCUCCGAACCGAUCUUGGAAAGGGCUUCCACGUCGAUAAGAUCCUCGACCUCAUCUUCUCCCUCUACGUUCCCAAAUUCCAAGCCGAUAGGCUUGUUGCCCUCCUCUCCUUCUUUAAGCACUACCUCUCCUCUUCUUCCGAAACCGCACUCCUUUCUACGCUCUCCAAAAUCCAAACUUCUCUUCUCCGCUUCUACGUCGUUCACGCCUUGCAAGCCAAUCGCAGGGACAGAGUCAUCGACUUCUUCGCUGUCCAUGGCAGUGACCUCUUGCAACGCUCACAGGAUUGGACUCGCUGGUUCGCGAUUCCUUAUGUUAAGAAUCCGAACCAGGAUCCUGAAUUUCGGGUUUAUUUCUCCAAGGAGUGGUAUGAGGCCUUGCAUCUUUCUGUCAGAAACUUCUUUAGCGAGAUAUUCAAUGGAACUCGGCUACCUGCACUGCUGAAGAUCAGUUCAGAGAUGAAUGCCACCAACGUACUCAAAAGAGAUAUCCUAAAUCUGAAUAUUAAAUUGGCGGAGCUUCAGGCUUUGCUUGAUGAGAAAGAGGCGAAGUUAUCACACUAUAGGAGUAUGGAAGGAAGCAUUAGUUCAUUGAGCAAUUUGCGGGAGGAAAGUUCUCAGAUGUCAAGAGGUUUUCCAGAGGUUUCCCCAACUGCUGUUCCACGAGCAGUUCAAACAGAAAUUAACCAAGAUUCAGUUGUGAAUGGAGCUGCAAAUAUUCAGUCUGAGUAUGUCAAUUCCAAGUCAGGUGAUAAUUCAACUGGGGUAUUGAAUGAUCGUGUUGGAAAUGGUGGAUCAGGCGAUACCAUGCAAACAGUUCAUGAAAGUCCAAGUAUAGAAAUUAGUGGAGAAGUUUGUGGUGAAGAAGAUUUUCCUGAUGUCAAAGUAGAGCACCAGGAGACGUUCUUGGGGCAUACUAGUCCAAUCAGCCGAUGUUGCUUCUCUGCUUCCGGGAACAAUAUCGCUAGUGCUUCACUAGAUGGAACUGUUAGAAUAUGGACAUAUGAUUCAUCAACUCCGGUGUCUAGAAAUGCAACCAUAUAUUGUGGCACGGAAAUUUUGUCUCUUGACUGGGAAUGUAAAUCUGACCGCUUGCUGUUAAUAGGUACAUCAGAUGGGUGUAUUAAGGCAUGGAAUGUAGAUGCAAAGAGAGUUGUUUGUGAUCUCAAUACAACUCAAGCAUUUCCAAGUGUCUUGGACAUAAAGUGCAGUCCCGUGGAACCUAUUUUUGUAUCUGCAGCAGCAUCUGGAGGUGCUGGUUCCAAUUAUUUUGACAACCUGGGUUUUGCUUCUCUCACUGUGUGGAACAUGAAGACGUGGAAACCCAUGACAGUCCUUCCUCUUGGAGAAGAUCCACCAGCUAUUACUUCUCUAUGCUUUAAUCACAAUGGAAAGAUUUUAGCUGCUUCUGCUGUUGAUGGAAUGAUCCACAUGUUUGACAUGUCUGCUGGCCUACAAAUUACUGGCUGGCCUGCACAUGAUUCUUCUAUCAGUUCUAUUCUUUUUGGACCGGAUGAGACUAGCAUUUUUAGCCUGGGCUCUGACAGGAAGAUUUUUGAGUGGAGUUUGCAAAAUCAAGGUCAAAUUCUAUGGUCAAGAGACUGCAGUAGGUUCUCUUACCCUCUGAAAGGUCCACAAUAUUGCAGACAUGAGAUGGCAUUAGAUGCAAGUGGGAGAAGACUCUUGGUAACGUCUAGUUCAGUUAGAGCCCCCAUAUACCAGGUUCAAGGUCAUUUAAAUGGUUGGAGAACACUUCCUCAUGGUGCUCCUAUUACUGCUGUGGAUUGGCAUCCUACCUCGCCCAUUUUCCUGACUGGAUCAGCUGAUAACUCUGUCCGAGUGACAUCUUUAUCAUAGCGUCACACGUUAGAUGUUAGAGGACUGAAAAAUUUUUUUAGUUUCGUGAUAAAAUCAUGAUGUGGACAAAAGAGGUUGGGUGAACCCUUCUCGCUUCUCUGACAAAGGAAUUGAAAGAGGUUUGGUGUUAUUGAUGAUGCUGGUUGUAAUUGCUUGAGCGAUGGUGGUUGAUUGUUGAUUACAUGGACUGAUUUGGCUAAGGAAAGUGAAAAAGAAGAGAGCUAAAGAAAACUGAAAGAAGCGCAAUGUGCAAUAUGUAAUGGGUAUUGUUUGUUGUGUAUAUUUAAGGUAAUUGUUUUGGCCCGGUCCAAUAUGUAUCAGAGGUUCACCAAGCGGACCCACAACCCGACUAUAUGAUGAGACGCCCAUCACAUGAUACGAUCUCCUAUGCGACGAUCUAGACAACUGGUAGAAGUUUCUAAGGGGAUGGGCCUAAGUGAGAGGGUCCACCCGAUGAAUGGGGAUAAAGAAUCCUCUGAUACGUCACUAUAACCCCAAUCCUGCCGCCUUAUCAUACAAACGCUUACUUUGACAUCGGAGUGUCCUUGCAAGUGGCCCACCGACGACUACUGGCAACAUACCUCACCUCAAUUCUCGCGCUCGGGUUUCGAUCCUCACCUCCACCGAUCCAACGAACUACCGAACAAUGGCGCUGUUUAUGGGGACCUAACGCGAGUUGAUGAUGGAGGCUUUUCGCCCAGUGGACGAGCUAGAAGAAAGGGGGUGGGGGACUGCCAGAGGCGUCGCCUCAUGAGUAGGAUGAGCACGGGAACCUCUCGGAGUCGCCGACCACCCUUUUUGACAAUUACUGCUCCCACGAGCAAUUCAUCUCGAAACAGUGGAUGACGGCCCAACUGUUCGGGUUAAGUUGCGAAAGUGCAACCUC